rnacentral:RNase_P_RNA from 1 species
GCAAGGGUGAAACGGUGGGGCAAGAGCCCACCGCCCCGACCGCAAGGAAGGGGGCACGGCAACCCCCGGUCGGAGCAAGGUCAAGCAGCGACGAGGUGCGGCCCGCACCGCUCGAGUCGCGGGUAGACCGCUGGAGGUGGCCGGUGACGGCCACCCGAGAGAGAUGAUCGUCACCCGAUCCCCGCGAGGGGCGAGGGCAACAGGACUCGGCUUACGGUUCGACCCACACC